AUGGCUGACGAGUCCCAAAUGGGACGAAAUGCGCAUCCUGGAU
rnacentral:hammerhead_ribozyme from 1 species